AACGAACGCUGGCGGCAUGCCUAACACAUGCAAGUCGAACGAGACCUUCGGGUCUAGUGGCGCACGGGUGCGUAACGCGUGGGAACCUGCCCUUAGGUUCGGAAUAACUCCCCGAAAGGGGUGCUAAUACCGGAUAAUGUCUUCGGACCAAAGAUUUAUCGCCUUUGGAUGGGCCCGCGUUGGAUUAGCUAGUUGGUAGGGUAAAAGCCUACCAAGGCGACGAUCCAUAGCUGGUCUGAGAGGAUGAUCAGCCACACUGGGACUGAGACACGGCCCAGACUCCUACGGGAAGCAGCAGUGGGGAAUCUUGGACAAUGGGCGAAAGCCUGACGCAGCCAUGCCGCGUGAAUGAUGAAGGCCUUAGGGUUGUAAAGCUCUUUUACCCGGGAUGAUAAUGACGGUACCGGGAGAAUAAGCCCCGGCUAACUCCGUG
rnacentral:rRNA from 1 species